rnacentral:rRNA from 1 species
AAUUGGAGGGCAAGUCUGGUGCCAGCAGCCGCGGUAAUUCCAGCUCCAAUAGCGUAUAUUAAAGUUGUUGCAGUUAAAAAGCUCGUAGUUGAAUUUCGGGGUUAGUAGGUUGGUCAUGCCUCUGGUAUGUACUGGUCUCACUGAUUCCUCCUUCCUUAUGAACCGUAAUGCCAUUAAUUUGGUGUUGCGGGGAAUUUGGACUGUUACUUUGAAAAAAUUAGAGUGUUUAAAGCAGGCUAACGCUUGAAUACAUUAGCAUGGAAUAAUGAAAUAGGACGUUCGAUCUUAUUUUGUUGGUUUCUAAGAUUGACGUAAUGAUUAAUAGGGAUAGUUGGGGGCAUUAGUAUUCAAUUGUCAGAGGUGAAAUUCUUGGAUUUAUUGAAGACUAACUACUGCGAAAGCAUUUGCCAAGGAUGUUUUCAUUAAUCAAGAACGAAAGUUAGGGGAUCGAAGACGAUCAGAUACCGUCGUAGUCUUAACCAUAAACUAUGCCGACUAGGGAUCGGAUGAUGUUAAUUUUUUAAUGACUCAUUCGGCGCCUUACGGGAAACCAAAGUGU